rnacentral:lncRNA from 1 species
GCACAGGGUCUGGGACAUCAUAGCCAUCUGCUGAUAAGCCCUUCUGUGAUUUUUGCUCCUCGAAUGAGAAUGAAAUGAACUCUCUCCAACACCAACACCAACACCAGCACCCCUCUCUCUUUAUCUCUUCAUUUUCGCACAACCAUUUCUCUCCCUCUUAACCCACUCUCACUUAUUUCUUCUGUAAGUCUCAACUUGGUUUUUUCUCACUUGUUUCUUGCAAAUUCUUUGUGUUUUGAUGCUACCUAGUUAUCUCAUCUUCGGUUGUAGUAGCUGAAGAAUAACGACAAAGGUUUUUUUUUUUUUUUCUUUUUUUAAUCCAAAGGUACUGGAUAAGAUAAUUCAAUGAGAAGUAGAAGAAGAAGAAGAAGAAGAAAACGAGGGAAAGAAACAAAAUUUUCGAUUAAUUUUUAUAGGCUAACUCUAAACAACUUUUUUU